rnacentral:sRNA from 1 species
CAACUUUAUAUUUAAUCUUAUAAGGGAAGACAUUAAAUAUAAACUACUUUUUGUUACUGAUGAAGAUGUAUCUAAUCCAAGUAACAUCGUUAAGAAAGUUUAUUUGGAUACUGCACAAAACCACAUUAAUUGGCUUAAAACAAAAGGCACUUUUAUUGGUAAUUUUAAUGUUAUAGCUCAAUUAGUAACUAAACGCCCCUCUCUAGAAGAAAAACAAAGUAUUGUUAUAAGUGACGCUGAAACGUUAUCUUUACUUGUGUGUAGACUUGACAAAUGUAAAGAUUUCGUACCGGAUUUUAUAACACAACUGGGGGAAUUUGGAGAACGUUGGGCGAACGACUGUUUCAAUAAUACAGUGUGUUUUAGUGCUCAGAGACUCAGUACUUUGGUUUAUGUAGGAUCAUGGGAAAGAUAGUUGGAUAUAAUGAUAUUGAUUUGGUGAUGUGAAAGCAAAUAGGUAAAGUUCCCCUAGCAGACCAUGUAAGGCUACAAAACUUAUGAUGUAAAUGUAAUGUUUUACUUUGGCCCACGGUUAACGAGGGUAUCAUGUGUGUAGCAAACAGACAAACCGCCUUUAUAUUUCCUUCAACUAAUGUCAGGUACCCAUCUAUUAGAGUUAGGAGGACUCAGGGGUAAAAGAUCCCGAAAAUUAAAACUUCCUGUCUUCACCAGGAUUCAAACCUGGAACAAUUCAGUUUUUGUGAAGUCCACCCUGCCACCGCGCCUCCUUAUUUGUGGUUGUACUAACAAUUAAGGAUGAUUUUAUGGUUAGGGAUAUUGGCUUAAGUUAAUGUACUCCUGAAUAUAUUGUUAUAUAUUCUUCUUUUACAUUCAUUGUAAAGAAUCCAACUCUAAUUGGAUCAUGGCACGCAAGAACACUGCACCUAUUAUUUACAAUUGCUCAAAUUUUACAAUCGCCGCAUUUUUUUACAAGACCCAAAUUCUGUGGGCACCAGCUGGAAAGAGGAUGUGAAUGUCGCCUAUGUGAGAUCUCUAUGGAGAGAACCUACUGCACUAUGCGUUGAAAGGGGAGACUCAUGUCUAAUUAAAUAACCAGAGUUACUAUGAGGCUCAAGUUAAUGAACAGAUAUUUGUUUUAAGAAUCUGCCUAAAUAAUUCCUAAAACUAUUGGAAUAUGUUCUAUUGAUGCUCUAAUUAAAGGACAGUACAUUUAUCGUAUAGUAACAAUAUUAUUGUGAAUUUAUUUAUUGUGUAAUUUCAAUUGAAUUUAAGCAUUGCAUUUAUAGGUACAAGUUAUGUAAAUUAGUCAACAUAAAUCUAGCACACCUUAAUCACAGGGCGAUAGUUCAACCUGGGUUUGCAAUGCCCACAACCCAAUGCCAUGUAUAAUAGCCAUGUAGAGUACACACAUUAACAAGGCCUACAGAUUAGACUUGACUCCAGCAGAGUCCCAAGCCUGCGUCCCUAAACGAGAAAAAUGUACAUUCCUUGUGACCGCAAUUCACAAGAUUGUAAUACCAACGAUUUAAGAGCUACGACCUAAAGAAGGAAUUAAAAUGAACAAACUUACCCAAUACUGGGGAAGAAAACAAGAACAGAGAGCUCAGUCAAAGAUCGCCAUGCAGCAAAACAAACAAAAGCAAUGACGCCAACACAGCGCGUCCUUAGAAAUAGCGCCCAAACUAUUAUGUUGCAUGAAAGAAAAGCAUCAAGUAAAAAGCAACUCUAGAUGCGCACGAAAUAUUUCCCAUUAUGAUGAAUCAUAACAAGUUCUGAAAAGAAAAACGUUACAGCAGACAUAAUAGGAGAUGAUAACUUUAACUGAGACAAAACAAACAGAUGAAGAAAAAGCUGUUUUUUUUUCUUAUAAAUUUAACACUCAGGCAAUGGAUAGAUGAGCCAUUUUCUGAUAGAUAUUUUAAGGAUGAAAAUUCUGAGUCACCGGUCUCUAGCUGAUAGGCGUGAGCUGGAACACAAAGUAUCACCCUCCACGACAGGGAGGACUCUUCAGUCUCUUCAGACUCUUCGUUGCUACAUCUGUGACCGUGAAUGUAUGUUAAGGAUCAAUCUCUUUAAUCAUAUAAUUCGAAGCCAAGGGAAACAAUCGUCUCACGAAUUACAAUCUCUUUGAAUUUGUACGCGUAUCUUACUGCUGUUCAAUAUAAAAGCUCUACUAACUUAGUAACCCUAUAGUUACGUCAUACUUAAAGUUUCGAUCAUUCUCUAUCUUAUGUAGUGCGUAGCGUAGCAAAUGUGCUACUUUUUUUCUUUUUCUUAACCAAGUUUAAUUUUGACUUUUAUUGGGUGCGCUCUCUAGAACGUAAUGUACAUAUUGUAUGUCUAUAACUAUCCUGUUCUGCUAAGUAUAAUAAUUAAACUUCUACCAUGUAUUGCUGCAUCUGUAAAAUUUUGAAAUCUGAAAACGAUCUAUUCCCCUUGUAACUUCACAUAUACUAAAAUUAUGCAAAUUGUUAUGACAUGAUUAGGAAUUAGUUAUUUGUUUCGGGAAUAGGAUAACGUUUUACUUUGUGACGAUGACGAAAAGUUUCCUUAAAAAGAGAGAACACUCUUGGAGACGAAAGGAAGAAGAAGUUUUUCCUUUUCGAAACAUAGAGAUUUUAUAGACGGCUAUAAGAAAGGACAUUCGACGGUUCCCUUUAUUGGUAUUAAAACUUAUUCUGUUAUUCAACACCCGAGUGGGAUACUGUGACCUAGAAUUAGGAUAGGUCAUAAGACCAGUGACCUGUACUGUACUGGCAUGUUAGUCCAGUGGUACUUUGUGGUCCC